GACGAACGCUGGCGGCGUGCUUAAUACAUGCAAGUCGAGCGAGCCCAUCCAGUGGCAACACUGGGGAAGGCCGAGCGGCGAACGGGUGAGUAACCACGUGAGCAACCUGCCCCGAAGUCUGGAAUAACAUCGGGAAACCGGUGCUAAUACCGGAUUGCCCCACCUGACUGCAUGAUCGGGUGAGGAAAGAUCUAUCGCUUCGGGGAGGGGCUCGCGGGCCUAUCAGCAGUUGGCGGGGUAACGGCCCACCAAGGCGUCGACGGGUAG
rnacentral:rRNA from 1 species